CAUAGAAGGCCACCUGGCCCGGAGGCGGGUUGUUAACCCGACCCUCAGCCCCAGGGGCGAAGAGCUCGAACUACUCCGGGAUACUGUACUGCUCCCUGAGCCGUUCGAUGUUUGCCCCCGAAAGUAAAGAAACCUCCACCUCCGGGGUCGAUUGGGAGUCGUCAGUCGGGUUCCCCGACUGACUCCCUCGAGGAGAGGUUCUAGCCAUAACGCUAGUCCCGAAAAGGAGAACAAAAAGAAAAUGGCAGAGGAGAACGGGCGCAAGAAGACAAGGAUAGGCAAAACUUUAAGAAAAGCUUUCGAGGG
rnacentral:lncRNA from 1 species